GACGAACGCUGGCGGCGUGCUUAACACAUGCAAGUCGAACGGAAAGGCCCCUUUGGGGGUCCUCGAGUGGCGAACGGGUGCGUAACACGUGAGUAACCUGCCCUUGACUUCGGGAUAACUUCAGGAAACUGGGGCUAAUACCGGAUAGGAAUCCUUGCUGCAUGGUGGGGGUUGGAAAGCUUCGGCGGUUUUGGAUGGACUCGCGGCUUAUCAGCUUGUUGGUGGGGUAGUGGCUUACCAAGGCUUUGACGGGUAGCCGGCCUGAGAGGGCGACCGGCCACAUUGGGACUGAGAUACGGCCCAGACUCCUACGGGAGGCAGCAGUGGGGAAGAUUGCACAAUGGGCGGAAGCCUGAUGAAGCAACGCCGCGUGCGGGAUGACGGCCUUCGGGUUGUAAACCGCUUUCAGCAGGGGCGAAGCUUGUGGUGACGGUACCUGCAGAAGAAGCACCGGCUAACUACGUG
rnacentral:rRNA from 1 species